rnacentral:tRNA from 1 species
GUUAAUGUAGCUUAAUAAUAAAGCAAAGCACUGAAAAUGCUUAGAUGGGUAUCUUAUACUCCAUAAACA